AGUCUACAUUUAGGAUCUGUCGUCGACUUUUUAUUAUUAUAGGAAUAUAUACACCCCACUUGCCUCACCUCCAACAGACCUCUGAAGAUGCCAGCCAUAAAAGGUAAAGGGUUCCCCUGACGUUAAGUCCAGUCAUGUCUGACUCUAGGGGUUGGUGCUCAUCUCCAUUUCUAAGCCGAAGAGCCGGCGUUGUCCAUAGACACCUCCAAGGUCAUGUGGCCGGGAUGCCAGCCAUAGAUGUAGGUAAAAUGUCAGAAGAGAAUGCUACUGGGAUGUGGCCAUCCAGCCCCAAAAACCCACAGCGACCCAGUGAUAAUGGCCAUGAAGGCCUUUGACAACACAGCCAAAAAAAACACACACAUAAUAAGGGAUGGAGUCUUGAAAACAAAAGUUCUGCCACCAGAUAUUAACAGAUUGGAAGAAUGAACUCAAAAGCAAGCAGACGGGGAAAAGGCAGGCAGUGCAAGCCUCCUGUGCACAACGCAGGUGAAGGAAAUGCGGCAAAGUGCCACAGGUGGCAAGGCUGGCUCUCUUUCUGGGGGAGGAUCCAGAGCCAGGAGCCGCUUCCCGGGAGCCCAAGGCGGAUGGACGGCUUUGGAAAGGUCCGUUAUGGAAUCAUUAAGAAACUGAAGCAAUCUGCUGAACUGAGAUAAAGGUUUUCCGACACCAUGGCUUUUCACUACAACGAAGCCUUUGAGAACGCGGAGUAUCCUUCCUCUGAGUCCCUGGAGGCAGAUGACCCAGGCUAUCACUAUGCGGAAACACUGGAGAUUGACCGAAUGAGAUCUGCUGAAAGAAGCACUUCUUUCCAUUACAACCCCUACGAUUCCUCUGCCUACAAUUCCUAUGGAGAGCACAACGAGGAAAGGACACGGAGGCAGAAUCCCUCCAUUCAUAUACCCAUGAACUCAAGGCGGAUUCCGGAUUCCAGUAGCGAGUACGGAUUAAGAGAUUCUUCAUUUGGAACGCCCAGUUCAAAUCCAUAUGGAAAUGCACAUGUCAAUCCUUCAUUUGACUACGAGGCGGAAUUUGCACAGACUUUACCUACGGACAGUCAUGCUCCGAAUCACCAUUAUACUCGGAAAACCUUCUGCUCCAUCCAACGGAGAAGAAAAAUUAAUUGGUGAACUCAUAGCCCUGUCCACGCGUGAAAGGAUUAAAGCAAUCCAGAAGAUUCCAAAACCAAUGAAAGAAAAGCGAACUAUCAGGAAUCACGUUCUGCUGGAGAAAACCAAAAAGUCCUUCAGCGGUAAUACUCAAAUUAACUGUUGCACCCAGUGUUUCUACAGUACAGCCUUGUCUUUCCGGCAGUUUAAAAAUAGCCUGGGCGACUGCUUUCAGAGUUUCAAGCUUUGGCAAAAGAUUCUCAAAGACAUUGGCGGCAAAUUUGGGACCAGCGUUCGAUCCUAUUUCGUAUUUCUGACCUGGCUCCUGACGGUGAACCUUUUCUCCUUCCUGGUGAAUUUCAGUUUUAUUACGAUCCCUCAGCUCAUCGCAGCCGCACCGAAUAACCUUUCGUUCAUUGGCUUGGAGUUCUUUACCGGAGCCGUAAGUAGAGGAAAAUCAGGGUCAGAACUGGGUUUGGAUAUUUAUGUCAUUAAGUGGCCGAAAUGAAUG
rnacentral:lncRNA from 11 species